AGAACGAACGCUGGCGGCAUGCCUAAUACAUGCAAGUCGAACGAGAUCUUCGGAUCUAGUGGCGCACGGGUGCGUAACGCGUGGGAAUCUACCCUUGGGUUCGGAAUAACAGUUGGAAACGACUGCUAAUACCGGAUGAUGACGAAAGUCCAAAGAUUUAUCGCCCAGGGAUGAGCCCGCGUAGGAUUAGCUAGUUGGUGAGGUAAAGGCUCACCAAGGCUACGAUCCUUAGCUGGUCUGAGAAGAUGAUCAGCCACACUGGGACUGAGACACGGCCCAGACUCCUACGGGAGGCAGCAGUAGGGAAUAUUGGACAAUGGGGGCAACCCUGAUCCAGCAAUGCCGCGUGAGUGAUGAAGGCCUUAGGUGUAAAGCUCUUUUACCCGAGAUGAUAAUGACAGUAUCGGAGAAUAAGCUACCGGCUAACUCCGCGCCAGCAGCCGC
rnacentral:rRNA from 1 species